GGGAAACUGGGGUGAAAGAUUCAGAUACUCAUCCGAAGGGGGACAGAAUUAAGGAGCGUUGCUAAAACCUCACGUGCACACACACAGCAGCAGCACAACGCUGAGAAAAACGCCGUCAUGUCAAACCGUGUCAGCCCCUGGCUCACCUUCGUUUUCUUCUGCUUCCUUCCCCAGGAAGGUGUAACGCGUGCCCGCCGCUUGCCGCGAGGCCUGCCCAGCCCACCAGCUCGCCCUGAGCCAGCAGCACUUCAGACGACCCGAGCCACGGCGCCGCCUUUCAGUUCCACUAGAUCUGAUUUUCAGUGGGAGAGAUCAGAGCUGAGGACAGCUUUCAGGAUGUGGAUGUGUCAGAGUUUCAGUCUUCCUGUGGCAUCUCCAAGUCUACUAGACUCAACAAGAAGUUGAAAGAAAAACAAUUGGUAGCUGAAUCAAAACCAGUUGUAAUCAGCUUACCUUCUGUUACAUGUUAUACCUUGAAUAUCUGAAAAGAUCCGCAUUACAGAUCACAGUUCACUCUGACAGUUCUUCAUCUGACUAUCAAUGUUAGAGAACAACAGGAGACAUCAACCAUUUUGUACAAAGAUCCAAAUAAAUUGCCCGUUCGUGUGAACAAAGAAAAUGUGCAGUUACACGAGUGCGCACCACCACACAGCACGGCACGGGCAGAGCCGAGGAUUGUCUACUUCGGAGCGACAGGUCUCCGGCACCUUCCGUACCGCAUCAGGUUCAGGUAGCGGGGAACAACGCACAGCAGAAGGCUGGAAGGAGCUUUUCCGUGCAAACUGGAAGACGACCCCAUUUCCCCGGUGUGGAAAAAGGAGCGGGUGACGGUCUCCUUCCCCACAGCAGCGUCCCGCCGCGCACUUCCGAACUCGGGGUACCCGCGGAGCACCAGGAGCCGUGCGGCGCAAGGACAGCAGCCGGCUCAUCGCUGC